GAUUUCCACCCGAAGGUGGUCCUUGAGAGAAGGUCUUAGAUGUUUAGAAGAGGUUACGUUACUUUCUUUGGUAUCACUUAUUAUUUCCUUCAGGCAAACCACAUGUCAGAGGACCUCUAUCUGAAAAUGACAUGUCCUUGAAGUUAGAAGCACUGAGGAAAACAUUUGCUUUGAGUGCAUUGUAUAGGACCACAUUAACAGUGAAAGACCCAUGACAGCUGUCUACUAGCAUACAGCAGGAUAUAAAAAGAAGACAGCUGUCUGUAAACAAAGAAGAGGGUUUGCAACGAGAACCUGACCACGCUGUCACAUCGAUUUCAGACUUCCAGCUUCCAGAACGGUCAUCUUGGUUUCUUCAAAUGUUAAGCUGGCAGCCUGAUUCAAUGUUAUAAAAACCCAUCAGUUGUCCAAGAAGCAGGACAGCAAGAGAGAAUGAACCAAGAAUCAUCAGUCAAAAAUGAUAAUUCCAACUAGAUCUAUGAGCAUAUCAAGUCAGGAUGGGAGAACUAACGAAACUGAGCAAUCAGAAUAAGACAUUGGAAGCAUCAGAGCAGGAGCAUCUUUGGGUCAGGAAUUUGGUCAUCUUUGGGACAGCAAGACCUCGCCUGUGGUCUGUGUCAUCUGCGGCAUCAACGAGGAGGACUCCAUGGCUGGAGAUGACUCACCAGGCUUUGGUAUCAGGACAAUGCUGGCCUCAUGAAAUGUGUUAGGGAGGAUUCCCUCUUUUUCUAUCGAUUGGAAUAGUUUCAGAAGGAAUGGCACCAGUUCCUCCUUGUACCUCUGGUAGAAUUCAGCUGUGAAUCCAUCAGGUCCUGGACUCUUUUUGGUUGUAAAGAAUUCAGUGUGGAACAUACGCAAACACAGGAUAUCCAAAAAAGAACAAGAUGAGGGGAGAAGAAACUAAAGUCAAAACAGUGCAAUACCAUAAACCUCAAUUAACACCAUGGGACCAGUAUGAAAUGCCACAGGUGAUGCUGAAAGCGCACCCAAGAAGCAGAGAAAAGUCAUGACAUUACAAGAAAAAGUUGGAUUCCUUGUGUUCUCAGGAACUCCCACAAGACAAUGAAAAUGAGUCAACAGAAGCACCUUGUGGUUGACAGUGUCUUGUUGAAGAUAAAGAUGGAAGCUUGCAAGUCAAAACAUUCAAAAGAAAUGAAGAUUUCUACAUACCCAAGAACCACUGAGCUAGCCAGUGAGUGAGUCAUCAUCCAUUUAUGUCACAGAUGGAAGCUUCUAAAUCAAAACAUUCAGAAGAAAUGAAGAUUUCUACAUACCCAAGAACUACUCAGCUAGCCAGUGAGUGAGUCAUCAUCCCUCACUUGGCCUGCUCUUUGGCUCCAUACUGGCUUCUUGGCUUCUGUUCCUUACCUGCUACAGUUUUUGUUCACACAGUAGCCAGAACGAUUCUGUUGAAAUGAAACAGACUAUGUCAUUUAAGCUCAAAAACCUCGAACCACUUUUCAUCUCACUCAGAAUACUAUGGUCAUGUGGAACCCAUAUUAUAUGACCUCUGGCUAACUUGUUUGACUUUAUACCUCACCAUUCUUUCGUCUCAAAGUUCACUCUAUCAGCCCUGACUCUUUGGUGGUGAAACCAAGUAUGCUUCCAUUCACUGCCUCUGCACCUACAUAACUUCUGCUUGUGAAGCUCUUCCUGGAGAUAUUUACUUGGCUCACACUCUUCAAUCAAGUCUUCGUUGAAAUGUCCCUUAUUUGAGUGUUGCUCCUGCCUAAUCUUUACAAAAUGGCACCCUUUGCAUCACUCUCUAUCCCUUAACCAUUUUUUCUUAGCUUUUUUUUUUCCCCACAGCAUUUGUCAUCAUUGGAAAUACUGCAUAACCAUUUAUUGUCUAUCAUUGCCAAUUACAAUGUGAGUUCCAUGACAUCUGGAACUUCCCUUUGCUUGUUGCUAUGUCCCAGAACCUAGAGCAGUGUCUGAUACUUGGUAGGGACUAAGUAAUUCCUUAGUCUUGAUCAUGCACAGAGAAGCACAUAUGUCUCAAAUAAUCUCAACUAAGAGCAGACUGAAGUCUCCUAAUAUUAGAACCAUUACCGACUUUUGUACUUUUCUAGGAACUGGUAUUUAGAAAAAUAAACACAAUAUCGAAAAGCAAAAACAAAACUAAUGAAAUAAUAACGUCACUAUGCUUUCUCCGGCAUUUCAUUCAAAUACAAUUAUAACUGGGGCAAAACAGUAUUUACCCUCCAAGAUGCCUCUAUGUUAGAGUCAAUUAAAAUUCACUUUUUAAGAAAGCUCAAGACCCUGCUCUCUUCCUUCCAAAUGUUAUCUAUGAAUCACUUGCAAUUUGAUAUAUUAACAAAUGAAACAAAUUAAAAUUUACAUUAUACCACUUCUGGGCACUGGGGACACAGCUUUCAAUUUUGAUGUAAUUGACUAUGCUGUGAUCAUUUGGAUGUUUCUUUAAAAAUUAAAGAAAAUUUUAAAAAAAUUUAGAGGCAGUCUCAUACUGUUUCCCAGGCUGGAGUACUAUGGCAUGAUCAUAGCUCACUGCAGCCUCAAACUCCAGGGCUCAAGUGAUCUUUCUGUUGGAACUACAGGCGUGUGGCACCAUGCCUGGCUAAUUGAAAAAAAAUUUUUUUUUCAGAAGGAGGGUCUGGCUAUAUUGCCCAGGCUGGUCUUGAAUUCUCAGCCUCAGGGGUCUCCCUACCUCAGCCUCCCAAGUAGAGAAUGUUUCUUUAAGCUCAUAGUACAAAUAUCUAGCAUAUUAAUAAUGUCAAUACUCUAACUACAUUUUGACUUUGACUUCAUCUAUCUAAUUAAGAAAAUUUAAUCUUUGAAAUGAACUAGCUUCUGUUCAAUGGUCCAGAAAAAUAAAUUCAAAUGAUAUAUUAUCAAGUUACCUAAUGCUAUUAUGCUUUCAGAGGUUUGUUUCAUUUGAAUUUUUGGAGAUUUUUUAUAAUAAAUGUUUUCAA